ACAUGCCUACAACAUAGCGCUAAUGCACCAGAUAAAAUUUGAACUAUACAGUUAAGCACGCUCAUGCUAGAAUAACACUAGGAUGGGUGACCGCUCGGGAAGUCCUAGUGUUUUACAUGCC
rnacentral:rRNA from 1 species